rnacentral:rRNA from 1 species
AACGAACGCUGGCGGCACGCCUAACACAUGCAAGUCGAACGCCUCGUAGCAAUACGGGGAGUGGCGGACGGGUGAGUAACGCGUGGGAACCUGCCCAGGGGUGCGGGACAACUUCGGGAAACCGGAGCUAAUACCGCAUGAUGCCGUGGCAACACGGCCAAAGAUUUAUCGCCUUUGGAGGGGCCCGGGUCGGAUUAGGUAGUUGGUGGGGUAACGGCCUACCAAGCCUCCGAUCCGUAGCUGGGCUGAGAGGAUGGCCAGCCACACUGGGACUGAGACACGGCCCAGACUCCGACGGGAGGCAGCAGUGGGGAAUGUUGUACAAUGGGGGCAACCCUGAUCCAGCGAGGGCGCGUGGGUGAUGAAGUCCUUCGGGUUGUAAAGCCCUUUCGGCGGGGACGAUAGUGACGGUACCCGCAGAAGAAGCCUCGGCUAACUCCGUGCCAGCCGCCGCCGUAAUAC